rnacentral:rRNA from 1 species
AACGAACGCUGGCGGCAUGCCUAACACAUGCAAGUCGAACGAGACCUUCGGGUCUAGUGGCGCACGGGUGCGUAACGCGUGGGAACCUGCCCUUAGGUUCGGAAUACCUCCCCGAAAGGGGUGCUAAUACCGGAUAAUGUCUUCGGACCAAAGAUUUCUCGCCUUUGGAUGGGCCCGCGUUGGAUUAGCUGGUUGGUAGGGUAAAAGCCUACCAAGGCGACGAUCCAUAGCUGGUCUGAGAGGAUGAUCAGCCACACUGGGACUGGGACACGGCCCAGACUCCUACGCGAGGCAGCAGUGGGGAAUAUUGGACAAUGGGCGAAAGCCUGAUCCAGCAAUGCCGCGUGAGUGAUGAAGGCCUUAGGGUUGUAAAGCUCUUUUACCCGGGAUGAUAAUGACAGUACCGGGAGAAUAAGCUCCGGCUAACUCCGUG